rnacentral:rRNA from 1 species
GUGGGGAAUAUUGGACAAUGGGCGCAAGCCUGAUCCAACCAUGCCGCGUGAGUGAUGAAGGCCUUCGGGUUGUAAAGCUCUUUAGCCGAUGAUUAUAAUGACUGUAGUCGGAAAAUAAGCCCCGGCUAACUUCGUGCCAGCAGCCGCGGUAAUACGAAGGGGGCGAGCGUUAUUCGGAAUCACUGGGCGUAAAGCGUGCGUAGGCGGCUUUGCAAGUUGGGAGUGAAAGCCCAGGGCUCAACCUUGGAAUUGCCUUUGAUACUGGCUGUCUUGAGUACGGGAGAGGUGAGUGGAACUCCGAGUGUAGAGGUGAAAUUCGUAGAUAUUCGGAAGAACACCAGUGGCGAAGGCGACUCACUGGCCCGUUACUGACGCUGAGGCGCGAAAGCGUGGGGAGCAAACAGGAUUAGAUACCCUAGUAGUCC